rnacentral:rRNA from 1 species
GAUUAACGCUGGCGGCGUGCCUAACACAUGCAAGUCGAACGAUGAAACUCAUUAGAUUUCUUCGGAAUGAAAAUGAAUGGAUUAGUGGCGAACGGGUGAGUAACGCGUGAGUAACCUGCCUUACACAAGGGGAUAGCCUCUGGAAACGGAGAAUAAUACCCUAUGAAACCAGACAAUCGCAUGAUAAUCUGGUCACAAUGUUUAGUGGUGUAAGAUGGACUUGCGUCUGAUUAGCUAGUUGGUGAGAUAAAAGCUCACCAAGGCAACGAUCAGUAGCCGGCUUGAGAGAGUGUACGGCCACAUUGGGACUGAGACACGGCCCAGACUCCUACGGGAGGCAGCAGUGGGGAAUUUUGCACAAUGGGGGAAACCCUGAUGCAGCGACGCCGCGUGAUUUAGAAGGCCUUCGGGUUGUAAAAAUCUUUUGUAUAGGAAGAAAAUGACAGUACUAUACGAAUAAGGUCCGGCUAAUUACGUG